rnacentral:rRNA from 1 species
AUUGAACGCUGGCGGCAGGCCUAACACAUGCAAGUCGAGCGAGCGGCGGACGGGUGAGUAAUGUCUGGGAAACUGCCUGAUGGAGGGGGAUAACUACUGGAAACGGUAGCUAAUACCGCAUACCAUCGGAUGUGCCCAGAUGGGAUUAGCUAGUAGGUGGGGUAAAGGCUCACCUAGGCGACGAUCCCUAGCUGGUCUGAGAGGAUGACCAGCCACACUUGGACUGAGACACGGCCCAGACUCCUACGGGAGGCAGCAGUGGGGAAUAUUGCACAAUGGGCGCAAGCCUGAUGCAGCCAUGCCGCGUGUAUGAAGAAGGCCUUCGGGUUGUAAAGUACUUUCAGCGGGGAGGCGUUACCCGCAGAAGAAGCACCGGCUAACUCCGUGCCAGCAGCCGCGGUAAUUC